ACAGAGGGUGCGAGCGUUGCUCGGAAUUACUGGGCGUAAAGCGCGCGUAGGCGGCUUGACAAGUCGAGUGUGAAAUCCCCGGGCUUAACCUGGGAGCUGCAUUCGAAACUGUCUUGCUAGAGUAUGGGAGAGGGAGGUGGAAUUCCGAGUGUAGCGGUGAAAUGCGUAGAUAUUCGGAGGAACACCAGUGGCGAAAGCGACUUUCUGGGACGUUCCUGACGCUGAGGUUCGAAAGCUCGGGGAGCAAACAGGA
rnacentral:rRNA from 1 species